CCUCUCGUGGGGGCAACAAGUGGAAACCCUCUUAUCCCCUCUUUUCCAAAAAUGGAAAUUUUUCGCGGAAGGUUGGCUAUCUCCCCUCCGGUGUGUGGAAGGAAAAGCUUCCCCAAGGUUAAGCGGGUUACUGGUUUGAGAGAGAUUUCCGUCCCCCGGGAAUUGGCCCCGGUCCAGAUCUCCUCGGGGAGCCACCAGGGGGAAUCUUCCCAAAGGGGGGAACCCCUGAUCGCACCACCCCGGCGGGGAGGAUGACCCAUUUCGGGUGGUAAACUCCUUUUUUUGGGAGAAGAUUUGCCGGUAUCCGAAGAAUAAGCAUCGGUUAAUUCCGUGCCAGCAGCCGCGGUAAUACGGAGGAUGCAAGCGUUAUUCGGAAUCACUGGGCGUAAAGAGCAUGUAGGCUGGUUUGCAAGUCAGAUGUGAAAUCUCACAGCUUAACUGUGAAACUGCAUUUGAAACUGCUUACCUCGAGUAUGGAAGAGGCAGAUGGAAUUAAUGGUGUAGGGGUAAAAUCCGUAGAGAUCGUUAGGAAUACCGAAAGCGAAAGCGAUCUGCUGGGACAUUACUGACGCUGAGAUGCGAAAGCGUGGGGAGCAAACAGGAUUAGAUACCCUGGUAGUCCACGCCCUAAACGACGAAUGCUUGUCGUCGGCGGCCAAGUGUCGUCGGUGAUUCACCUAACGGAUUAAGCAUUCCGCCUGGGGAGUACGGUCGCAAGAUUAAAACUCAAAGGAAUAGACGGGGACCCGCACAAGCGGUGGAGCAUGUGGUUUAAUUCGAAGAUACGCGAAAAACCUUACCUACCCUUGACAUUGAUAGAAUUUUGCAGAGAUGUGAAAGUGCCUUCGGGAACUUGAAAACAGGUGCUGCACGGCUGUCGUCAGCUCGUGUCGUGAGAUGUUGGGUUAAGUCCCGCAACGAGCGCAACCCUCUUCUUUUAUUGCUAACAGUUCGGCUGAGCACUCUAAAGAUACUGCCUUCGUAAGGAGGAGGAAGGUGAGGUCGACGUCAAGUCAUCAUGGCCCUUAUGGGUGGGGCUACACACGUGCUACAAUGGGGCAUACAGAGAGUCGCAACAUCGCGAGGUGAAGCUAAUCUUUAAAGUGUCUCUCAGUUCGGAUUAUUCUCUGCAACUCGAGAAUAUGAAGCUGGAAUCGCUAGUAAUCGUGAAUCAGAAUGUCACGGUGAAUACGUUCCCGGGUCUUGUACUCACCGCCCGUCACACCAUGGGAGUUGAUUUCACCCGAAAUCGGGAAGCUAAACUGGCUACCGCUUACGGUGGAAUCAGCGACUGGGGUGAAGUCGUAACAAGGUACC
rnacentral:rRNA from 1 species